UACGUAGGGUGCGAGCGUUGUCCGGAAUUACUGGGCGUAAAGAGCUCGUAGGUGGUUUGUCGCGUUGUUCGUGAAAUCUCACGGCUUAACUGUGAGCGUGCGGGCGAUACGGGCAGACUGGAGUACUGCAGGGGAGACUGGAAUUCCUGGUGUAGCGGUGAAAUGCGCAGAUAUCAGGAGGAACACCGGUGGCGAAGGCGGGUCUCUGGGCCGAUACUGACACUGAGGAGCGAAAGCGUGGGGAGCGAACAGG
rnacentral:rRNA from 1 species